GCCGAGGUGGUGGAAUAGGUAGACACGCCGUCUUGAGGGGGCGGUGCCCGAAAGGGCGUAGGGGUUCAAAUCCCCUCCUCGGCACCA
rnacentral:tRNA from 2 species